UUGAUGGUGUUGGUGGAGCUACGUGGCUGACCUCACCGGUUUAGUUCUUUUGCAACGGGAUCAUGAUGGGCUUUCCAUGUGCGCCAGCUUAGGUUCUUUGUUGCCAUUCAUCAAUGUUCACACCUUGAUGUUGGUAGUUGGUUCGAGUUCUUGUUUCUAAGUUUGGUGUCGAUUCUUAAGAUUGCUUUGUUUGUGCGGCUCGUUGUAGUUCGCUGGUGAUUUUGCUAUCCAUUCAUUUCAGAGUGGUUAGGCCUUGCUACUUGUUUCAUGGUGGUUUCUAUCUAGGUGGGUCGUAUUAUGUGUUGUCCGACUUCGCCGCAUUCAUAAGUUUUAUGAAGAUUAAUAGGUCUUUAACUUGCUGGAUUGUAAAGCCAUGGGUUCUUUGUGAUGGGAGUUGUCUAUCUUGGG
rnacentral:lncRNA from 1 species